rnacentral:rRNA from 1 species
AGAGUUUGAUCAUGGCUCAGAACGAACGCUGGCGGCGUGCUUAACACAUGCAAGUCGAGUGCGCGUACCGUAGCAAUACGGUAUGGCGCACGGCGCACGGGUGCGUAACACGUGGGCAAUCUGCCCUUCGAUGGGGAAUAACUCCGGGAAACCGAAGCUAAUUCCGCAUAACAUUCCUUGGACUCCGGUUCGAGGACUCAAAGCCGUAAGGCGUCGAAGGAGGAGCCCGCGCCCGAUUAGCUAGUUGGUGAGGUAACGGCUCACCAAGGCAAUGAUCGGUAGCUGGUCUGAGAGGAUGGCCAGCCACACUGGAACUGAGACACGGUCCAGACUCCUACGGGAGGCAGCAGUGGGGAAUCUUGCGCAAUGGGCGAAAGCCUGACGCAGCGACGCCGCGUGGGGGAUGAAGCAUUUCGGUGUGUAAACCCCUUUCGACUGGGACGAAUACCUCGCAAGAGGGGUGACGGUACCAGUAGAAGAAGCCCCGGCUAACUACGUGCCAGCAGCCGCGGUAAGACGUAGGGGGCCAGCGUUGUUCGGAAUUACUGGGUGUAAAGGGUUCGUAGGCGGUGUGGCAAGUCGGGAGUGAAAUCUAUGGGCUUAACCCAUAGGCUGCUUCCGAAACUGCCGUGCUUGAGUGUGGGAGAGGCGCGUGGAAUUGCAGGUGUAGCGGUGAAAUGCGUAGAUAUCUGCAGGAACACCCGUGGCGAAAGCGGCGCGCUGGACCACUACUGACGCUGAGGAACGAAAGCUAGGGGAGCAAACAGGAUUAGAUACCCUAGUAGUCC